rnacentral:rRNA from 1 species
UACGUAGGGUGCAAGCGUUGUCCGGAAUUAUUGGGCGUAAAGAGCUCGUAGGCGGUUCGUCGCGUCGGCUGUGAAAACCCGGAGCUCAACUCCGGGCCUGCAGUCGAUACGGGCGGACUAGAGUUCGGCAGGGGAGACUGGAAUUCCUGGUGUAGCGGUGAAAUGCGCAGAUAUCAGGAGGAACACCGGUGGCGAAGGCGGGUCUCUGGGCAGUAACUGACGCUGAGGAGCGAAAGUGUGGGGAGCGAACAGG